UACAGAGGUCUCAAGCGUUGUUCGGAUUCAUUGGGCGUAAAGGGUGCGUAGGCGGCGCGGUAAGUCGGGUGUGAAAUCUCGGAGCUUAACUCCGAAACUGCAUUCGAUACUGCCGUGCUUGAGGACUGGAGAGGAGACUGGAAUUUACGGUGUAGCGGUGAAAUGCGUAGAUAUCUGGAGGAACACCGGUGGCGAAGGCGGCAUUCUGGACCGACAUUGACGCUGAGGAGCGAAAGCCAGGGGAGCAAACGGG
rnacentral:rRNA from 1 species